GCACGGUUGCUGGAGUGGCAACAGCUUCGGCUGCAAACCGAAUGUCAGGUGUUCGAUUCACCUACCGUGCUCCA
rnacentral:tRNA from 2 species